ensembl:lncRNA
GCGCUUGUGCCUGUUGCUUGCUGGUGCCUGCUGGUGCCCUGCCUGGGUUGGUGAUGCGUGCAGGUUGUUGAUCGCGUAACAGUCUCGGUGUAGAUUCCAACCGAAUGGUAACAUUCAGCGGUGCGCUGUCAGCCGCUGGCUUAAGUAGGAAGUUGCCAACUUCCUGGUACUGCCGAUUGUGUCGUUGCCGACUGCUGUUUUUGUCACCCGUUGUUUACCACCAAAGCUGCCCAACUGUCCUGGGGUAGCCUGGAGGAUAGCGGCGAAGACGCUAACGACCACUCCUUUUGAACGUGAUCUGCGCUGAGUGCCCACCGCAGGGAGGCAACUAGAUCCUUUAGGUGGUGGUGCCCCCUUCCAGAGUGUGGUUUCACGUGUGUCCUCUUGGAAUUUCGCUUUUAUCAUUUUGAUCCUGUGGGCCUAUAGGUGAAAUGCCUAAUCCGCAACAAGCUUCUUGGUUAUAAUAACAAUACAUCUUCCAUGUUGAGGCAUUACCGUGCCCUUCAUGAGAAAGAGGAGACACCCACAGCACCUGCUGGGACUUGCACACGUGCGUUUUGGUGUUCACUUAUUUUUUAUGCAUGAUGCAUUAUAAGAGGGCUAUACCAUUAGGUUACUGCUUGUUCACUUGUUUUGUCUCUUUUGCCCAGCUUCCAGGAAAAAGGUAAUGGACGAGGCCUAGUGGACAUGGUGGUGAAGGAUAGCCAGCCUUUUACUAUGGUCAACGACCAGGGAUUCAGGGGGCUGGUAAAAUUACUGGACCCUUCAUAUGUUCUGCCCACCAGACAGGCUUUAAAGGCCAUGGUGGAGGAACUGGACUUGAGCAUCUGCGUACAAGUGCCAGAAGAAUUGUAACACUCUUUCGGUCUAGUACCAAGGAAAGUCUAGCCCAGAUGCAGCAACGCAUGGGAAGACCAAUGCGUAAGCUGCUGAAGGAGGUUGAGACGAGGUGGAACAGCACCUAUAAUGUUGGAGAGGCUGCAUUCAGAUAGAGAAGCUGUAAGUGCAGCUAUGGCUUCUCUCCCUUUUAAAGACACCAUGUUGACUCUAAUGGAGUUUACCAUAAUUAAGGAGUGCCUUGGUGUGCUACAAUUGAAUUGUCCGAGGUAAAGAGGGUGUCAGCCUCUAAGAUUCUUCCAUUAUUGAAAAUGGUCUCAAUAACCCUCGGUGAACAGCUUUGAUCCAUCCACACUGACAUGGCCCAACAACUCACCAAAUCAAUACAACUGAGGUUAAUGGAAUCCCUUAGCCGCUCCCCAAAGACCAGUAUCCUGACCCUCUAUACUCUCCUGGACCCACGUUUCAAAUCCCUCGGCUUCCUCACUCCAACCAAGGCUGAUGAAGCUGUGAAUAGGCUCACCACUGAGUGUAGUCAAGUGAUAGGUGAAAAACCGGUACAAUCAUUUCCACUUGUAUCAGCAGCGAUCCAUGAAGUCCCUUCCACCUCCUCUGGUCAACUGUGGCGACAUUUGGAUGCAACUGUGCAGAGGAGCAGACAAAUUCAUAGUGCCACAGCAGAUGCCAUCGUAGAGGUCCAGCGCUAUUUAAGAGAACCUCACAUCAACCGAAAUGAUGAUCCACUCCAAUACUGGGAACUGCACAAACUAUUAUUUCCACACCUCUACAUUUUGUCAUUGAAAUUUUUGUGUACCCCUGCAUCCUCUAUCCCCUGUGAGCGUGUUUCUAAAUAAAAAUCAUUAGCCAAAUCUUGUUACUGAAUAAAAUCAUUAGCCCCCCCUUCCCCCCUCCAAAGUUACACAAAAC